rnacentral:ncRNA from 2 species
AUGAUGGCUGUGGGAGAGACCCGAAAAGAGGGCGCCGAAGGAGCACGAGGGCUUACCGUGCUGUGGUAACCGUUUAAACUCUCAGGCAAAAGGACUGCGGCCAGACG